CCUACGGGGGGCAGCAGUGGGGAAUAUUGGACAAUGGGGGCAACCCUGAUCCAGCCAUGCCGCGUGUGUGAAGAAGGCCCUCGGGUUGUAAAGCACUUUCAGUGAGGAAGAACGCCUGGUGGUUAAUACCCAUCAGGAAAGACAUCACUCACAGAAGAAGCACCGGCUAACUCCGUGCCAGCAGCCGCGGUAAUACGGAGGGUGCGAGCGUUAAUCGGAAUUACUGGGCGUAAAGCGCGCGUAGGUGGCUUGAUAAGCCGGUUGUGAAAUCCCCGGGCUCAACCUGGGAACGGCAUCCGGAACUGUCAAGCUAGAGUGCAGGAGAGGAAGGUAGAAUUCCCGGUGUAGCGGUGAAAUGCGUAGAGAUCGGGAGGAAUACCAGUGGCGAAGGCGGCCUUCUGGACUGACACUGACACUGAGGUGCGAAAGCGUGGGUAGCAAACAGGAUUAGAUACCCCAGUAGUC
rnacentral:rRNA from 1 species